rnacentral:lncRNA from 1 species
CAAAAUCAAAGAAAAAGAAUCAAAUUAACCCUUGACAUGCUAGUAAAUCUGAAUUUCAUGGAGGUAAAAGUUUGAAAUCAAUUUUGAGUUUUGAAUGACUCAGUAUAUAAGGCAUGCACAAAUUACAGACAUGUGAAGUCGAGCUAUGGCAAAAGAAACAUCAUACAGUAAAUAGCAUAGAGUAGGCAUUCAAACAUGUGUAGUAAAGAGAGAAAGAAUAAAGACAUGCAAAGAGUUGGGUAAGCUCAGAUUGUAUAGAGAAAAGAAAUGCAAGAAUCGAAUUUGUAUAGUUCCAAACAGGCAAGUCAGACAAAACACUUCAAAGGAUUUGAG